UCAAUUUUCUUUUUAAAACUCGUUUUUUCUUAACCUGCAUUGGCAUUAACUAGUUUUAAUGUGUUUUAUUUACUAGGGUUAAACCGGAAAAGCUGCCUCAUUUUACAAAAAGACUGCAAAGACUGUGCAGUGACACCUCCCUACCCCAGGCCUCUGGAGCCUUUGGAGCAGAAAGAUCCCAGGAGCUGAGGAGGAAUCCAGGGAUGCAUUCAAAUGGCAGCUGUUUACAGGUCAUGGGCUGCUAGUUCAUGAGCAGGAGCAGAGUCUCUGUACGUUUACCAACCAUAGAGCUCAUU